rnacentral:rRNA from 1 species
GACGAACGCUGGCGGCAGGCCUAACACAUGCAAGUCGAACGCCCCGCAAGGGGAGUGGCAGACGGGUGAGUAACGCGUGGGAACGUACCCUUCGGUUCGGAAUAACCCGGGGAAACUCGGGCUAAUACCGGAUACGUCCGCAAGGAGAAAGAUUUAUCGCCGAAGGAUCGGCCCGCGUCGGAUUAGCUAGUUGGUGGGGUAAUGGCCCACCAAGGCGACGAUCCGUAGCUGGUCUGAGAGGAUGAUCAGCCACACUGGGACUGAGACACGGCCCAGACUCCUACGGGAGGCAGCAGUGGGGAAUAUUGGACAAUGGGCGAAAGCCUGAUCCAGCCAUGCCGCGUGAGUGAAGAAGGCCUUAGGGUUGUAAAGCUCUUUCAGCGGGGAAGAUAAUGACGGUACCCGCAGAAGAAGCCCCGGCUAACUUCGUGCCAGCAGCCGCCGUAAC